UUGAACGCUGGCGGCAGGCCUCACACAUGCAAGUCGAGCGGAUGAAGGGAGCUUGCUCCUGGAUUCAGCGGCGGACGGGUGAGUAAUGCCUAGGAAUCUGCCUGGUAGUGGGGGAUAACGUCCGGAAACGGGCGCUAAUACCGCAUACGUCCUGAGGGAGAAAGUGGGGGAUCUUCGGACCUCACGCUAUCAGAUGAGCCUAGGUCGGAUUAGCUAGUUGGUGGGGUAAAGGCCUACAAAGGCGACGAUCCGUAACUGGUCUGAGAGGAUGAUCAGUCACACUGGAACUGAGACACGGUCCAGACUCCUACGGGAGGCAGCAGUGGGGAAUAUUGGACAAUGGGCGAAAGCCUGAUCCAGCCAUGCCGCGUGUGUGAAGAAGGUCUUCGGAUUGUAAAGCACUUUAAGUUGGGAGGAAGGGCAGUAAGUUAAUACCUUGCUGUUUUGACGUUACCAACAGAAUAAGCACCGGCUAACUUCGUG
rnacentral:rRNA from 1 species